rnacentral:rRNA from 1 species
UGGCGGACGGGUGAGUAACGCGUGGGUAACCUGCCUCAUACAGGGGGAUAACAGUUAGAAAUGACUGCUAAUACCGCAUAAGACCACAGCACCGCAUGGUGCAGGGGUAAAAACUCCGGUGGUAUGAGAUGGACCCGCGUCUGAUUAGGUAGUUGGUGGGGUAACGGCCUACCAAGCCGACGAUCAGCAGCCGACCUGAGAGGGUGACCGGCCACAUUGGGACUGAGACACGGCCCAA